GCAAGCGAUCAAGGGCACACGGUGGAUGCCUUGGCACCAGGAGCCGAUGAAGGACGUGGGAGCCUGCGAUAAGCCCCGAGGAGCUGGCAACCGAGCUACGAUCCGGGGAUUUCCGAAUGGGGAAACCCGGCCGGAGUCAUGUCCGGUCACCGCUACCUGAACACAUAGGGUAGCCGGAGGAAACGCGGGAAAGUGAACCAUCUCAGUACCCGCAGGAAGAGAAAGCAACCGCGAUUCCCUUAGUAGUGGUGAGCGAACGGGGAACAGGCCAAACCGGGCAGGUGAGGAAGCCGGCAGGUGUUUCCUGCCCGGGGUAGAGGGACCCGUCACGCCGGGGCUGCCGACCCGGCAGGGAGUCAGAAACCAUCGAGCUAGCCGAAGGCACUGGGACGUGCCGGCACAGCGGGUGACACCCCCGUAGGCGAAAGCCCGAUGGCUCCCCGCACGGUGUUCCCAAGUAGCACGGGGCCCGAGGAAUCCUGUGUGAAUCUGCCAGGACCACCUGGUAAGCCUAAAUACUUCCUGGUGACCGAUAGCGGACCAGUACCGUGAGGGAACGGUGAAAAGAACCCCGGGAGGGGAGUGAAAUAGAACCUGAAACCGUGUGCCUACAAGCCGUCAAAGCCGGCCCUUCGGGGCGCGGUGAUGGCGUGCCUUUUGGGACAUGAGCCUGCGAGUUAGUGGUGUGUGGCGAGGUUAACCCGUACGAGGGGAAGCCGUAGCGAAAGCGAGUCCUAACAGGGCAUACGAGUCGCACGCCCUAGACCCGAAACCGAGUGAUCUACCCAUGGCCAGGGUGAAGCCCGGGUAACACCGGGUGAAGGCCCGAACCCACCAGGGUUGAAAACCUGGGGGAUGAGCUGUGGGUAGGGGUGAAAGGCUAAUCAAACUCGGUGAUAGCUGGUUCUCCCCGAAAUGCAUUUAGGUGCAGCGUCACGUGGUUCGCUCUGGGGGUAGAGCUACUGGAUGGCUGAUGGGCCCUCACAGGUUACUGAAGUCAGCUAAACUCCGAAUACCAGAGCGUCAAGCGUGGCAGUGGGACUACGGGGGAUAAGCUUCGUAGUCGAGAGGGAAACAGCCCAGACCGUCAGCUAAGGCCCCAAAGUGUGUGCUAAGUGGGAAAGGAUGUGGAGUCGCAGAGACAACCAGGAGGUUGGCUUAGAAGCAGCCAUCCUUGAAAGAGUGCGUAAUAGCCCACUGGUCAAGUGACUCUGCGCCGAUAAUGUAGCGGGGCUCAAGCACACCGCCGAAGCUACGGCAUUCGCGCAUGAUGCGCGGAUGAGUAGGGGAAGCGUCGAGCGAUCGAUGAAGCGGCAGCGCAAGCUCGCCGUGGAGGCCGCUCGAGUGAGAAUGCAGGCAUGAGUAGCGAAAGAGGAGUGAGAAUCUCCUCCGCCGGAUGACCAAGGGUUCCAGGGCCAGGUUCAUCCGCCCUGGGUAAGUCGGGACCUAAGGCGAGGCCGACAGGCGUAGUCGAUGGAUAACGGGUUGAUAUUCCCGUACUCGCUGACAUGCGCCCUGCCGAACCCGGAUCUUGGCUAACCGCCCGAAACCGCGACAUCUCCUUCGGGAAUGUUGCGGCGUAGCGCGGGACCCCAGCCGGUAGUAGGCAAGCGAUGGGGUGACGCAGAAGGGUAGCCCAACCCGGGCGAUGGUAGACCCGGGGUAAAGGUGUAGGGCGGUGCAUAGGCAAAUCCGUGCACCUUCAAGCCUGAGACCUGAUGCCGAGCCGAUUGUGGCGAAGUGGGUGAUCCCACGCUGUCGAGAAAAUCCUCUAGCGAGUGUGUCAGCGACCCGUACCCCAAACCGACGCAGGUGGUCAGGUAGAGAAUACCAAGGCGAUCGGGAUAACCGUGGUUAAGGAACUCGGCAAAAUGUCCCCGUAACUUCGGGAGAUGGGGAGCCGGACUGGGUGAUCACCCGCGCGGUGUGAGCGUGGUCCGGCCGCAGAGAAUUGGCCCGAGCGACUGUUUACUAAAAACACAGGUCCGUGCGAAGAAGCAAUUCGAUGUAUACGGACUGACGCCUGCCCGGUGCUGGAACGUUACGGGGAUGGGUUAGCCAUCUGUCCGCAGGUGGCGAAGCCCUGAACCUAAGCGCCAGUAAACGGCGGUGGUAACUAUAACCAUCCUAAGGUAGCGAAAUUCCUUGUCGGGUAAGUUCCGACCUGCACGAAUGGCGUAACGACUUGGGCGCUGUCUCAACCACGGACCCGGCGAAAUUGCAGUACGAGUAAAGAUGCUCGUUUCGCACGGCAGGACGGAAAGACCCCGGGACCUUUACUGUAGCUUGGCAUGGGCGUCUGGGGCGGUCUGUGUAGGAUAGGUGGGAGACUGCGAAGCGGAUACGCCAGUAUUCGUGGAGUCGUCCUUGGAAUACCACUCUGGCCGUUCUGGCCGUCUAACCUCGGUCCGUAAUCCGGAUCAGGGACAGUGCCUGGUAGGCAGUUUAACUGGGGCGGUUGCCUCCCAAAAGGUAACGGAGGCGCCCAAAGGUCCCCUCAGCCUGGUCGGAAAUCAGGUGGCGAGUGUAAGGAUAAAAGGGGGCUUGACUGCGAGACCGACAAGUCAAGCAGGUACGAAAGUAGGGCCUAGUGAUCCGGCAGUGGCGAGUGGAAGCGCUGUCGCUCAACGGAUAAAAGGUACCCCGGGGAUAACAGGCUUAUCUUGCCCAAGAGUCCAUAUCGACGGCAAGGUUUGGCACCUCGAUGUCGGCUCGUCGCAUCCUGGGGCCGGAGUCGGUCCCAAGGGUUGGGCUGUUCGCCCAUUAAAGCGGCACGCGAGCUGGGUUUAGAACGUCGUGAGACAGUUCGGUCCCUAUCCGCCGUGCGCGUUGGAGACUUGAGAAGAUCUGUCCCUAGUACGAGAGGACCGGGACGGACGGACCUCUAGUGUGCCAGUUGUUCCGCCAGGAGCACGGCUGGUUAGCUACGUCCGGCACGGAUAACCGCUGAAAGCAUCUAAGCGGGAAGCCGUCUUCAAGAUGAGGUCUCCCACCGGGUCAACCGGGUAAGGCCCCCAGCAGACUACUGGGUUGAUAGGCCGGAGGUGGAAGCGCAGCAAUGCGUGCAGCUGACCGGUACUAAUAGGCCGAGGGCUUGCUUCAC
rnacentral:rRNA from 3 species